rnacentral:lncRNA from 1 species
GCAGUGAUGCGAUCAUGGCUCACUGCACCCUGGACCUCCCAGGUUCAAGUGAUCCUCACACCUCAGCCUCUUAAAUAGCUGGGACUACAUGCAUACACCACCAGCCUGGCUAAUUUUUUUUAUUACUUUUUGUAGAGACAGGGGUCUCACUGUGCUGCCCAGGCUGGCCUUGAACUCCUGGGCUCAAGCAGUUCUCCCACCAGGGCCUUCCAAAGUGCUGGGAUUACAGGUGUGAGUCACUGUGCCCAGCCGAGAAUGCUUUUUUUUUUUUUUUUUUUUGAGACGGAGUCUUGCUCUCUCGCCCAGGCUGGAGUGCAGUGGCGCGAUCUUGGCUCAGUGCAAGCUCCUCCUCCCGGGUUCACGCCAUUCUCCUGCCUCAGCCUCCCGCGUAGCUGGGACUACAGGCGCCCGCCACCACGCCCGGCUAAUUUUUUAUAUUUUUAGUAGAGACGGGGUUUCACCGUGUUAGCCAGGAUGGUCUCGAUCUCCUGACCUCGUGAUCCACCCGCCUCGGCCUCCCAAACUGCUGGGAUUACAGGCGUGAGCCACCGCACCCGGCCCCCCUUUUUUUUUUUUUUUUUGAGUUGGAGUCUUGCUCUGUUGCCAGGCUGGAGUGCAGUGGCGCGAUCUCGGCUUACUGCAACCUCUGACACCCUAGUUCAAGCGAUUCUCCUGCCUCAGCCUCCCAAGUAGCUGGGAUUACAGGCACGCACCACCAUGCCCAGCUAAUUUUUGUAUAUUUAGUAGAGACGGUUUCGCCAUGUCCUCGGCCUCGGCCUCAGCCUCUCAAAGUGCUGGGAUUAUAGGCAUGAGCCACUGUGCCCGGUCUUGAGUUUCUUAUAUAUUUUUUAUAUUAAGCUCUUGUCGUGUAUGAUUUGCAAAUAUUUUGUCUGUUUUUUAGUUGUUUCAUUCUGUUUUACCAGAUUCUGUGCAGCAGCUUUUUAAUUAAAAGUAAUCUGAGUAAUCAAUUUUUCCUUUGGUUAUCUGGGAUUUUGAUGUUAAAUAAAAAAAUUCACUGCCCAAAUCAAUGUUAUUAUGCUUUCACUCUAUAUUUUUUGUACUAAUUUUAGAGUUUCAGGCCUUACAUUUAAGAACCUAAUUUAUUUUGAGUUGAUUUUUAUAUAUGGUGUGAGAUUAGGGUCUCAUUGCUCUGUAUGUGGGUGUAAAGUUUCCUUAACCAUUUAUUGAAAAUACUGUUCUUUCCCUAAGAAAUUGUCACCCUUACAUUUGUGUAAAAUGUGUUUCGUUUCUUCCUUUAAUGUUCUUUAGAUUAUAAUGUACAGGUCUUUCAACUUUUUGGUUAAAUGUAUUUCAAAGUAUAGUUACUAGAUUAUUUGUAGAUGGGAUUGUUUUUAAAUUUCAUUUUGAUAUAUUUAUUACUGUAUAGAAAUGCUACUGAAUUUUAGAUAUUGCUUUUGUAUUCUGUGAGUUUAAUGAAUUUGUUUAUUAUAAUAGCUUUUGGUAAAGUCUUAGGCUUUUCUAUACUUAAGAUUAUGUAUAGAAAUAAAAGGUUAUUAAACAGGGAUAAUUUAACUUACUUUUUCCAAUUUGGAUGCCUUUGGUUUUAUUCCCUUCUCUGUUAUAUUUAGUAAGACUAAAAAAAGUGCACAUUCUUGCCUUGUUCUAGCUCUUAGAAUAAAAUCUUAAACUUUUUUUGUUUAUUUAGUAUGUUGUUAGCUGUGCAUUUUUUUGUUACAUAUAGCAUUUAUCAGCUUGAGGUGCAAUGCUGCUAUACCUAAUUUUUUCAGAGAUGUAUUAUGAGGGACUGUUGAAUUUUGUCAAACUUUUAUUCUGCAUCUGUUAGUAGAGUUGUGAAAUCACAACUAAUUCUACAUAAAUACCAAACAUUCUCAGAGACUUGUACGAACAUCUCUGUGCAUUCAAAGUACAAAAUUUAGAGAAAAUAGAUAAACUGAAUACAUACAACUUCCAAGUUUGAAUCAGGAAUAAACAGAAGUCUUGAGAGCAAAAAUGCAUAAAAUUGUAUAAUGAAUUAGUAAUUAAAAGAAACCCUACCAACCACAAAAAGCCCUGGAUCAGAUGAAUCUGCAGAAAAUUUUACCACGUAUGCAAAGAUGAGCUGGUCCUAAUCAUACUGAUUGUAUUCCAAAAAAAAUCAUGGUGGGAUUCCACCCUAACUUAUUACAUAAAAUUAGUAUCAUGUUGCUCUCAAAAUCUAGUGAAGACAGAACAACAAAAACAACUACAGGCCUAUAUUCCUGGUGAACAUAGAAACAAAAAUCCUCCAUGAAAUACUAGGAAGCUGAGUUCAUAAGCAAAUAAAGUUACUUUGCCACAGUCAUAUGAGCUUUAUUCUAUGAAUGCAAUAAUGUUUCAUAAUAUGCAAGUCAAUAAGUGUAAUUCACCAUGUGAAGGUAAUUUUAAGCAAAAAAGUAUAUAUCACAAUAUAUGCAGAAAUAGCAUUCAAGAAAAUUAAAUAUUGACUGAUGAACAUAUUCGCAAAAAACCAGGCAUUCAAGAAACAUACCUCAAAAUAAUAAGAGGCAUCUAUGACAAAUCCUCAGCCAACAUCAUACCGAACAGGAAAAAGCUGGACGCAUUCUCUCUAAAAAUAAAAAUAAUACAAGAAUAUUCACUCUAAACCGUCCUAUUCAACAUGAUUCUGGAAGUCCUAGCAAGAGCAAUUCAAAAAAGAAAGAAAAGGAAUCCAAAUUUUCUGCACUGAUGAUAUAAUUCUUUUUCUAGAACCUUUAAGAUUAGACCAGAAGACCCCUCUGCCUAAUAAAAGACUAAAGCAAAGUCUUAGGAUACAAAAUUAAUAUACAGAAAUGAGUAGCAUUUCUGUACACCAGUAACAUUCAAGCUGAGAAAAAAAAAUCAAGAAGAGUUCCAUUUACAGUAGCCACAAAGAAAAAACAAUAUACAUAGAAAUGCAUUAAAGAAGUAAAAUAUCUCUACAAGGAGAACGUAAAACACUGCUGAAAAAAACAGAGACAAAGCAAAUAAAUGGAAAAGCAUUUCAUGCUCAUGAAUUUGAAGAAUCAACACUUAAAAUGUUCAUGCUGCAUAAAGCAAGCUACAGAUUAAGUCCUUUUUCUAUCAAACUAUCAAUGACUUUUUUUAAAUAGAAUUAAGAAAAGAAGGCUGCAUGCAGUGGCUCACGCCUGUAAUCCCAGCACUUUGGGAGGCUGAGGUUGGCGGAUCACUUGAGGUAGGAAUUUGAGACCAGCCUGGCCAACAUGGUGAAACCCUAUCUCUAAGAGUUACAAAAAAAAAAAAAAAAAAAAAAAAGACAGGUAUGGUGGUGCAUGCCUGUAAUCCUAGCUACUCGGGAGGCUGAUGGGAGGAUUACUUGAACCCGGGAGACAGAGGUUGCAAUAAGCUGAGAAUGCCACUGCACACUCCAGACUGGAUGACAGAGUGAGACUCCUUCUAAAAAAAAAAAUUAAAAUAUAUAUGGAAGAAUAAAAGAAUUCAAAUAGUCAAAGCAACUUUAGAUAAAAAGGACAAACCUGGAGACCUUACAUUACUUAUCUUUAAACUGUACUAUAAGCUACAGUAAUCAGUAUAACAUGGUUCUGGUACAAAAAUAUACAUAUAGAGCAAUGGAAAAAAAUGAGAGAGCCCUGAAAUAAAGCUACACUACUCCAACUUAUUAUUGAAAAAGUGUACAGAAAUAAAGGAAAAAUAACUUCCUAUGCAAUAAAUGGUAGUGGGAAAACUGGCUAGUCAUAUGCAGAAGAAAAUUGAAUCCCUACCUCAUAUCAUAAGAAAUAUAACAAGAUAGAUUAAUAACUGUGAGUCUUCAAGCUACAAAAAUCCUAGAAGAACAUCUAGAAAGUACAUUUCUAGACACUGGCCUCUAGAAAUAAUUUAUGACUAACACCUUAAAAGUGAAUGCAACAAAAAUAAAAAUUUUAAAAUGGCACCUAAGUAAACUAAGGAGCUUUUGCACAGUAAAAAGCUAUCAACAAAGUAAACAUAGAGCCUACAGUGUGGAAUAAAUUAUUUGUAUACUGCAUACCACAAAGGAUUAAUACAUGGAAUCUAUAAGAUUUAAUAAGAAAGUAGACAAGUGAUGUAAAUACUUCUCAAAGGAAGACAUAAAAGCUGCCAAUAAACAUGCAGAAAAUUGCACAAGAUCUCUAAUCAGAGAGACGGAAAAUUUUGGAGAGAAGAAAAUCUUUAUAAACUGUUGGUGAAAAUGCAAAUUCAGCCCCUGUGAAAGUUUCUACAUUUUUCAAAUAACUAAAGAUAGAAUUGCCAUUUGACCCAUUAACCCCUUUUUUGGGUAUCUACCCGAAGGAAAAUAUUUUACUAAAAUGACACCUGUACUUACAUGUUGAUUGCAGCACUAUUUACAGUGGCAAAAACCUUGAAAAACUAUAGGGUAUGAUGUACACUAUGUGGGCAAUGGAAUUAUUAAAUGUGCAAGCCUCAACAUCCUGAUGUAUACAGGUUACAAAUCUGCACAUGUACCACUUGAAUCUAAGAUAAAAAUAAUAAAAUGUUUUGUGGUAUAAUGGCAUGUUACAUUUCUCCAGUUCUGAAUUAGUAGUUGGAAUUAGGGGUGAGAGAAUUAUUUGCCCCUUAGGGCAUAAGGGUAAAUGUUUUUAUACCAGGUCUCCCCACACUCUAUAAGCUAGCCUCUCUGAAAGCUCUUGGGCUAUAUAGCUCAAGAAGUGUUUUAUUCCCAAGUAUGCAGAUAAAAUAAAAGACCCUACAUCUUUAUUUUUUAUGUAUCAACUGUACAUUAGACUAUAGAGUUAAUUUGUUAGUCUACUCUUUUGGGGGAAAAAUGGUAAGUGGUUUAAUCACAUUAAAAAUUUUUUUAGAAAAUGUGAGGUUGUGAAAAUCAUGGUUAAUUCCUUAAUUAGGAAAAUAAAACAUUUUUCUAAAAAAAUGCAUAAAAGUCUAAUGUCCAUAGCC